rnacentral:rRNA from 1 species
AGCGAACGUUUGCGGCGGGCCUAACACAUGCAAGUCGAACGCACUAGCAAUAGUGAGUGGCGCACGGGUGCGUAACACGUGGGUAAUCAACCCUUCAGCUUGGGAUAACGACUUGAAAGGGUCGCUAAUACCGGAUACGGCGAGAGAGGCUUCGGCAUUUCUCGAGAAAGCCUCGCAAGGGGCACUGAAGGACGAGCCUGCGGCCCAUCAGCUAGUUGGUGAGGUAAGAGCUCACCAAGGCGAAGACGGGUAGCUGGUCUGAGAGGAUGAUCAGCCACACUGGAACUGAGACACGGUCCAGACUCCUACGGGAGGCAGCAGUGGGGAAUAUUGCGCAAUGGGCGAAAGCCUGACGCAGCCACGCCGCGUGAGCGAUGAAGGCCUUCGGGUCGUAAAGGCUCUGUGGGGAGAGACGAAGAAAGCCCGUGAAGAGCGGGCCUUGACGGUAUCUCCUUAGCAAGCACCGGCUAACUCCGUGCCAGCAGCCGCGGU